UUGCAUAACAUUUCUGGGCCUCCAUUUCUUGAGUUGUGAAGUUGUUUCCAUCAUAAAGAACAAGGACUACGAACAUGGCACCAGGGAGACAAACCAGCAGGCAGUAGAGAUUUUUCUAAAAGAACUGAAUUCAGAAAGACAUAAAGAGGUUAACCAGGUAGAGAAGGAAAAGAGAAGAGAGAAAUCCUACCAGAGGCAACUAUAUGUGCAAAGGUCCUGAGGCCCGAACUCCUACAAAUCAGGACGACCAGAUCCCAGAAAACAAGGAAGCGGGCUGCAAAAUGAGGAAAUGAAAAUGAAGGAGUAGGGCGGGCCAAACGGAUAAUUUGGAGCAUCUGAAGAGACACGCCUGGGGCUCCAGGGGUGCCCCUGCUGUUCCCUCAUUACUGAAACACUGAAGCGAAGCCAGCAGAAGGGGAGAAAUCACCCACACCCCAAGGCAUGGCAGCUGAGAAAAAGAGAGCAUCAGUGAAGAGGGGGGGAUCGAUUUCACACGAGGCCCCUGGCCGGAGGGGCGGCGAGCCAGUGCCAGGCCAUUUGUCUGGGGACUGCAGAACUGGGGGAGGGAUCUCCGCCUGACCCAGGAGUCCUCAAGCUCUCGCCACCUCACGCGCCCAUCCCAGCUUUAUGGAUCAACAAACCCGUCUUUCAGUCAACAGGAACUUUGUGAGCUAAACAACAGAUGCCACAGGGCCUAGAAGGCAAAUAAA